CCUACGGGUGGCAGCAGUGGGGAAUAUUGGACAAUGGGCGAAAGCCUGAUCCAGCCAUGCCGCGUGUGUGAAGAAGGCCUUCGGGUUGUAAAGCACUUUCAGUGGGGAAGAAAGCCUUGGGGCUAAUACCCUCGAGGAAGGACAUCACCCACACAAGAAGCACCGGCUAACUCCGUGCCAGCAGCCGCGGUAAUACGGAGGGUGCGAGCGUUAAUCGGAAUUACUGGGCGUAAAGCGCGCGUAGGCGGUCUGAUAAGCCGGUUGUGAAAGCCCCGGGCUCAACCUGGGAACGGCAUCCGGAACUGUCAGGCUAGAGUGCAGGAGAGGAAGGUAGAAUUCCCGGUGUAGCGGUGAAAUGCGUAGAGAUCGGGAGGAAUACCAGAGGCGAAGGCGGCCUUCUGGACUGACACUGACGCUGAGGUGCGAAAGCGUGGGUAGCAAACAGGAUUAGAUACCCCUGUAGUC
rnacentral:rRNA from 1 species